rnacentral:rRNA from 1 species
UUGUCUGAACCGCAUGGUUCAGACAUAAAAGGUGGCUUCGGCUACCACUUACAGAUGGACCCGCGGCGCAUUAGCUAGUUGGUGAGGUAACGGCUCACCAAGGCGACGAUGCGUAGCCGACCUGAGAGGGUGAUCGGCCACACUGGGACUGAGACACGGCCCAGACUCCUACGGGAGGCAGCAGUAGGGAAUCUUCCGCAAUGGACGAAAGUCUGACGGAGCAACGCCGCGUGAGUGAUGAAGGUUUUCGGAUCGUAAAGCUCUGUUGUUAGGGAAGAACAAGUGCCGUUCAAAUAGGGCGGCACCUUGACGGUACCUAACCAGAAAGCCACGGCUAACUACGUGCCAGCAGCCGCGGUAAUACGUAGGUGGCAAGCGUUGUCCGGAAUUAUUGGGCGUAAAGGGCUCGCAGGCGGUUUCUUAAGUCUGAUGUGAAAGCCCCCGGCUCAACCGGGGAGGGUCAUUGGAAACUGGGGAACUUGAGUGCAGAAGAGGAGAGUGGAAUUCCACGUGUAGCGGUGAAAUGCGUAGAGAUGUGGAGGAACACCAGUGGCGAACGCGACUCUCUGGUCUGUAACUGACGCU